rnacentral:rRNA from 1 species
UACGUAGGGUGCAAGCCGUUGUCCGGAAUUAUUGGGCGUAAAGAGCUCGUAGGCGGUCUGUCGCGUCUGCUGUGAAAACUCGGGGGCUUAACCCCGGGCCUGCAGUGGGUACGGGCAGACUAGAGUGCGGUAGGGGAGACUGGAAUUCCUGGUGUAGCGGUGAAAUGCGCAGAUAUCAGGAGGAACACCGGUGGCGAAGGCGGGUCUCUGGGCCGUAACUGACGCUGAGGAGCGAAAGCAUGGGGAGCAAACAGG